rnacentral:rRNA from 1 species
UACAGAGGUCUCGAGCGUUAUUCGGAUUCACUGGGCGUAAAGGGUGCGCAGGCGGCCGUGUGUGUGAGGCGUGAAAGCCCGGGGCUUAACCCCGGAAUUGCACCUCAAACUACAUGGCUAGAGCAUUGGAGAGGGUAGCGGAAUUCACGGUGUAGCAGUGAAAUGCGUAGAUAUCGUGAGGAACACCAGAGGCGAAGGCGGCUACCUGGACAAUUGCUGACGCUCAGGCACGAAAGCGUGGGGAGCAAAAGGG